rnacentral:rRNA from 1 species
GAUGAACGCUGGCGGCGUGCCUAAUACAUGCAAGUCGAGCGAACGGACGAGAAGCUUGCUUCUCUGAUGUUAGCGGCGGACGGGUGAGUAACACGUGGAUAACCUACCUAUAAGACUGGGAUAACUUCGGGAAACCGGAGCUAAUACCGGAUAAUAUUUUGCACCGCAUGGUUCAAAAGUGAAAGACGGUCUUGCUGUCACUUAUAGAUGGAUCCGCGCUGCAUUAGCUAGUUGGUAAGGUAACGGCUUACCAAGGCAACGAUGCAUAGCCGACCUGAGGGGGUGAUCGGCCACACUAGAACUGAGACACGGUCCAGACUACUACGGGAGGCAGCAGUAGGGAAUCUGCCGCAAUGGGCGAAAGCCUGACGGAGCAACGCCGCGUGAGUGAUGAAGGUCUUCGGAGCGUAAAACUCUGUUAUUAGGGAAGAACAUAUGUGUAAGUAACUGUGCACAUCUUGACGGUACCUAAUCAGAAAGCCACGGCUAACUACGUG